ACCUCUCUUGGUGUUUUGUGGUGAGCUCAGCCGAAGGAAGUGGAAGACUGUUAAAAAGAAGACUAGGGCUAAGAAUUGCUUUGACAGCAAGGCAAUCCUUUUGGAAGUUGUGAAAGAGUUAACUGGCUGCUGUUCCAGACCUUGGAAGGUGGUCCUUUGUGAUUUCCAGAUCUGAG